GAUGAACGCUGGCGGCGUGCCUAAUACAUGCGAGUCGAGCGAACGGACGAGAAGCUUGCUUCUCUGAUGUUAGCGGCGGACGGGUGAGUAACACGUGGAUAACCUACCUAUAAGACUGGGAUAACUUCGGGAAACCGGAGCUAAUACCGGAUGAUAUUUUGAACCGCAUGGUUCAAAAGUGAAAGACGGUCUUGCUGUCACUUAUAGAUGGAUCCGCGCUGCAUUAGCUAGUUGGUAAGGUAACGGCUUACCAAGGCAACGAUGCAUAGCCGACCUGAGAGGGUGAUCGGCCACACUGGAACUGAGACACGGUCCAGACUCCUACGGGAGGCAGCAGUAGGGAAUCUUCCGCAAUGGGCGAAAGCCUGACGGAGCAACGCCGCGUGAGUGAUGAAGGUCUUCGGAUCGUAAAACUCUGUUAUUAGGGAAGAACAUAUGUGUAAGUAACUGAGCACAUCUUGACGGUACCUAAUCAGAAAGCCACGGCUAACUACGUG
rnacentral:rRNA from 1 species